rnacentral:rRNA from 1 species
ACCCCGAACAGGGGAGUGCAAUAGACCCUGAAACCGUUCGUCUACAAGCGGUCGGAGCACCUUUGAGGUGCGACGGCGUGCCUUUUGGAUAAUGAGCCUACGAGUUGUUCCAUUCCUGCGAGGUUAAGCGCUUAAGGCGCGUGAGCCGAAGCGAGAGCGAGUCUGACAAGGGCGUAAAGUAGGAGUGGACAGACGCGAAACCUAGUGAUCUACCCUUGGCCAGGUUGAAGGUGCCGUGACAGGCACUGGAGGACCGAACCGGUUUCCGUUGAAAAGGAUUCGGAUGAGCUGAGGGUAGGGGUGAAAGGCUAAUCAAACUGGGAGAUAGCUCGUACUCCCCGAAAUGUCUUUAGGGACAGCCUCGUCAGAGCUUCACGGAGGUAGAGCUACUGAUAGGAUGCGAGGGCUUCACCGCCUAUCAAUUCCUGACAAACUCCGAAUGCCGCGAAGUGAUUGACGGGAGUGAGUCGCCGGGUGCUAAUGUCCGGUGGCAAGAGGGAAAGAGCCCGGACCGCCAGUUAAGGCCCCGAAAUGUAUGCUAAGUUGAGAGAACGAGGUGGCUAUGCAGAGACAGCUAGGAUGUUAGCUUGGAAGCAGCUAUUCAUUUAAAGAGUGCGUAACAGCUCACUAGUCGAGCGCAGCUGCGUGGAUGAUAAACGGGCAUCAAGCAUACUGCCGAAACUGCGGACUCGUCGCAAGAUGAGUGGUAGGGGAGCAUUCCGGUCGGCGCCGAAGGUCAGUCGUGAGGCUGGCUGGAGCGUCCGGAAAAGAAAAUGUAGGCAUAAGUAACGACAAUGCGGGCGCGAAACCCGCACACCGAAAGCCCAAGGUUUCCUGAGCGACGUUAAUCGCCUCAGGGUAAGUCGGGCCCUAAGGCUAACCCGAAGGGGGAGGCUGAUGGACAACCGGUCAAGAUUCCGGUACCCGUUAUGCGAGUGAAGGAGUGACUGAGGAGUGGCACCUCCGCCGUCUGACGGAAUAGACGGUUGAAGCGCGUAGGUAUAUCUACGGGUAACGCCCGUGGAUGCUGAAACGUGACAGUACCGCGAGCCUCCGGGCGAGCGGACAGCGAGGGUAAUCAGACUCACGAGAAAACCUCCGUAGCAUAUUGCAUGACGGCCCGUACCGUAAACCGACACAGGUGGGCGAGGAGAGAAUCCUAAGGUGCUCGAGCGAUUCAUGGCCAAGGAACUCGGCAAACUGACCCCGUAACUUCGGGAGAAGGGGUCCCACGUAAGUGGGCGCAGAGAAAUGGCCCAGGCGACUGUUUACCAAAAACACAUGGCUUUGCGAAAUCGAAAGAUGACGAAUAAGGCCUGACACCUGCCCGGUGCCGGAAGGUUAAGAGGGGGCGUGAUACUGAAGCAAUGAAGUUGAGGCGCUGAAUUGAAGCCCCGGUAAACGGCGGCCGUAACUAUAACGGUCCUAAGGUAGCGAAAUUCCUUGUCGGGUAAGUUCCGACCUGCACGAAUGGUGUAACGAUCUGGGCGCUGUCUCAGCCAUGAUCUCGGUGAAAUUGUAGUAGCGGUGAAGAUGCCGCUUACCCGCAACGGGACGGAAAGACCCCGUGAACCUUUACUGCAGCUUAGCGCUGAAACCGGGUAAUUGAUGUGUAGGAUAGGUGGGAGGCCGUGAGGGCGGUACGCCAGUAUCGCCGGAGCCGCUGUUGAAAUACCACCCUUUGGUUAUUUGGUUUCUAACUCUGGUUUGAGGACACCGCUUGGUGGGUAGUUUGACUGGGGUGGUCGCCUCCAAAAGCGUAACGGAGGCUUCCCAAGGUCCACUCAGCACGAAUGGUAACCGUGCGCAGAGUGUAUUGGUAUAAGUGGGCUUGACUGAGAGACCGACAAGUCGAUCAGGUGCGAAAGCAGGGCAAAGUGAUCCGGUGGUUCUACAUGGUUUGGCCAUCGCUCAAAGGAUAAAAGGUACU